CGCCUGCCGUUUCGACGAUUUUCCGGUUGAUCCUGGCGGAGGCUAUUGCUAUCAGGGUUUGACUAAGCCAUGCGAGUCGAGAGGUGAAAGACCUCGGCAUACUGCUCAGUAACACGUGGAUAAUCUGCCCUCAGAAGAAGAAUAAUCCCGGGAAACUGGGGCUAAUGCUUCAUAGGAGACGGGUGCUGGAAUGCUCUGUCUCUGAAAGGUCCGCCGUCUGAGGAUGAGUCUGCGUCCGAUUAGGUUGUUGUUGGGGUAACGGCCCACCAAGCCUUUGAUCGGUACGGGUUGUGGGAGCAAGAGCCCGGAGAUGGAUUCUGAGACAUGAAUCCAGGCCCUACGGGGCGCAGCAGGCGCGAAAACUUUACAAUGCGAGCAAUCGUGAUAAGGAAACCCUGAGUGCCUGUCAAUGCAGGCCGUUCUGGUGUCUAACGCACACCAGGAGAAAGGGCGGGGCAAGACCGGUGCCAGCCGCCGCGGUAAUACCGGCUGCUCGAGUGAUAGCCACUUUUACUGGGCUUAAAGCGUUCGUAGCUUGGUCGUUAAGUCUCUGGGGAAAUCUUUUGGCUCAACCAAAAGGCGUCUCAGGGAAACUGGCGACCUAGGAACCGGGAGAGGUAAGACGUACUUCGGGGGUAGGAGUGAAAUCUUGUAAUCCCCGAGGGACGACCGAUGGCGAAGGCAUCUUACCAGAACGGCUUCGACAGUGAGGGACGAAAGCUGGGGGAGCAAACCGGAUUAGAUACCCGGGUAGUCCCAGCCGUAAACGAUGUGCGUUAGGUGUGUCAGCGACCACGAGUCGCUGAGGUGCCGAAGGGAAACCGUGAAACGCACCGCCUGGGAAGUACGGUCGCAAGGCUGAAACUUAAAGGAAUGGGCGGGGGGACAC
rnacentral:rRNA from 1 species